GAUGAACGCUGGCGGCGUGCCUAAUACAUGCAAGUCGAGCGAACAGACGAGGAGCUUGCUCCUCUGAUGUUAGCGGCGGACGGGUGAGUAACACGUGGAUAACCUACCUAUAAGACUGGGAUAACUUCGGGAAACCGGAGCUAAUACCGGAUAACAUGUUGAACCGCAUGGUUCAACAGUGAAAGACGGUCUUGCUGUCACUUAUAGAUGGAUCCGCGCCGCAUUAGCUAGUUGGUAAGGUAACGGCUUACCAAGGCAACGAUGCGUAGCCGACCUGAGAGGGUGAUCGGCCUCACUGGAACUGAGACACGGUCCAGACUCCUACGGGAGGCAGCAGUAGGGAAUCUUCCGCAAUGGGCGAAAGCCUGACGGAGCAACGCCGCGUGAGUGAAGAAGGUCUUCGGAUCGUAAAACUCUGUUAUUAGGGAAGAACAAAUGUGUAAGUAACUAUGCACGUCUUGACGGUACCUAAUCAGAAAUCCACGGCUAACUACGUG
rnacentral:rRNA from 1 species